rnacentral:rRNA from 1 species
ACUUGUCUUUUAAAUAAAGACCCGUAUGAAUGGCAUAACGAGGGCUUAACUGUCUCCUUUUUCUGGUCAAUAAAAUUGAUCUCCCCGUGCAGAAGCUGGGAUAUAAACAUAAGACGAGAAGACCCUAUGGAGCUUCAGACAUAUAAGGAGCUUACGUUAAAGCUUUACUAAUAAACAUAUGAACUAAAUUCUCCCCUUACAAAUGUCUUUGGUUGGGGCGACCGUGGGAUAUAAAAAAACUCCCAUAACGAGAAAAUACUAAUUUUUUAAACUAAAAUAAACCAAUUAAAGCCGCAAAAACUUUUUGACACGCAAAUCCGGGAUUCCAAUCAACGAAACGAGUUACCCUAGGGAUAACAGCGCAUUCCUCUUUAAGAGCUCCUAUCGACAAGAGGGUUUACGACCUCGAUUUUGGAUCAGGACAUCCUAAUGGUGUAGCUGCUAUAAAGGGUUUGUUUGUUCAACGAUAAAAGUCCUACUUGAUCUGA